GACAGAGGGUGCUAGCGUUGUUCGGAAUUACUGGGCGUAAAGGGCGCGUAGGCGGUCCGCUAAGUUCGGCGUGAAAUCCCCCUGGCUCAACUGGGGAACUGCGCUGGAUACUGGUGGACUUGAGUACCGGAGAGGAGAGUGGAAUUCCUGGUGUAGCGGUGAAAUGCGCAGAUAUCAGGAAGAACACCCGUGGCGAAGGCGGCUCUCUGGGACGGUACUGACGCUGAGACGCGAAAGCGUGGGGAGCAAACAGGG
rnacentral:rRNA from 1 species